CUAGAGUUCCAAAAUAUAGUAGUACAACACAAUUGACAGCACAAUAAACUGACUACAAAUGUUACACUGUACAUCACCGUACUGCCGUACUAAACUAAACUACUGUCUCUAUAUCUCUUCCUGGAUUGGUACGUUUUACUCGAGGACUCCACUAGGACCGAAUUGCAUGGUCAACAGUCCCGGCCUCCUCACUGUCCUAUACUGAAAUUACACUACAUUACACACUCUGUCUCUGGUCCACCAAGGCUUCUGAUCACAUGACCGCAACACGGGCCAUAUUUACUUGCAAACGUCAGACCAGUAUUUGUCCUUUGUCCGUCGACAUAGUACGCUAAACUGUAUUACUGGCCUGUGUCACAUGUGUCAGCUGAUUGUACACAGUUAACACUAUCGCGUCGCCAAUAGGAUUACAACACCCAGGGUGCAGAAGGCGUGACUAAAAAACUAAAGUUAGUUGAAGCAGAGCUGGCAAAGUUAAAGAUUAAGUAUGCUGUAAGUUAUUUGACUAAUUUCAUGGAGCUGGAACAUUCUCAAGAGAUAAAGAAUAAGCAGCUUAAACAAGCGAAGGACAAUCGAAAAUGGCUCUGAAAAAGAAGGACCAAACACAACAUUGAAUUGAAAUUGUAAAAAAAAAACAACUUAUGACUUUGUUUAUAAAACACAUUUUUUUACCUCCAGCUUCUAAAACGGGAGCUUCUAGAAUUAAAAGAAGCAACAAACAACUGAAAUAAAUCAGCCAAAUGUUCCUCAUUCUUCGAGGACUCCCUUUUGAUUACCCGAGGCACUCACUUGGAUGGCUGCCUGGUCGUGCGGUUUGCGCGCUGGACUGUAGUUCGGAUUUAUCGACGGUUCAAACCCUGCCCACUGUCAUGCCCCGUCGUCCUGCUGGAGGUUUGGACUAGGAAGUAAACUAUCUUCAACUCUGAAGGAACAUCCGAAACAUGUCAAACAAAACAAAACAAGCCUGUCAUUUUUGUUUAAGACUAAUGCAAAGCCUUGGAAAUUGUUUCUAAGGAGGAAGAAAACACACGUCAUUUUGACAUUGUCAACUAUAGAAAUGCAUCGCACCAUUGAACUCGUAUGUUAGCUUGUUGGUUUUUUUUUUUUUGGUUAGUUAAAUAUAUUUAAAUGUUUGACAUAAUGUUGGUAAUAUUUUCUAAAUGUUCAUAUUAUCUCUGGUUAUAUUCUUCUUCUAGAUCUGUUUUCUCAUUCAAAAUUGUAUACUUGCAUAUUUAUCUUUGCUUGUAUAUUUAAUGAAAAUUAAAAUGCUAAUUGUUGUUAAUAAAAAUAA